UCAGUGUCAAGUUUUUUUUCUUUGAUGUGGAAAUGCUCAAUUCUUGUGUGACUAAAAUAAGAAAUAGAACUCUGUGUAGCAUAAAUUUUUUCUCAAAGGCUGAAAAGUUUUAAAUCUUAUUUAAAUAUUGCUUUUCAUGUUCCUUCAGCCCGAAAUCUUAAAUAUUUUUUUACUGCAUUGCUUUUCAAUUCAUAUAGUCACUACUUAGAUACCCUUGAUCUAAAAAAUUUUGCUUUUAUCUUCCUCACUAAUUGAAAAUGAUGUAAUUGAUGUUCGAUUUCUUCACACUUAAAUCAAUAACUGCAUGCAAUUGUUGAUAUCCUUGUCUCUUUAAAUUUUAUUAGGGAACAAUAAAACCCUGGUGAUUGUUUAAUUUAUUGAUUUGUUUUUAAAGAAGAAAUGAUGCCAAAAUAAGGGGAAAAUCUUGCGAGAAAACUUGCAUCCCCUGCAUAAGAAUCAAUUAUAAAGUUUUGGUUGGCGCCAAAACUCUUGAAGAGGCCCGAUACCUUGUUUCGCUCCACACAAGAGAUAGCUAGCAACAUGACUCAGUUUUAUUGUCAGAUAUGAGAGGUUUCAAGCAACAUCAAAAAAUUGCUGAAGGGAAGGAAUUCUUGUGCAGAUUCACUUUAAUUUGUCAACAAGUGCAACACAAGCUCAACAUCUAUUUGGCGUGAUAUCAGUGGCUACUUGUCCUCUUAUAUCAGUCACACUCCUAAAUUUCUAAUAUGCUUCCAGGUCACUAGAAAAAAUAUAUCUAUCUUGAGGAUUUAUGGUUACUUGACUCCUUUGCCUGCAUUUCAACUAGAGGUGCCUGUAGCAUUAUUCAGCUCCUUCAUUUUGAGUCCAAACUCCUGGUGAUACAACAAGAAAGUGGGAGAUUGAGGGAAUGACAAGUCUCUGGUAGUUCAAUUUUUAUUAUUAUUAUUUUUCCUUAAUCUUAUGUAUUCGAUGACUAACAGAUUGAUUCUUUUAACAAUUUAAACUAUAAGGAGUUCAAAA